UCUGCCCCCCUCAUGCGUUGCAGCCCAACUGUCCGUGUUGCAGCUGCGUCACAAGGGGGCGGAGAGAGACCGGUGGUGGUCUGCACCGAGACUCUACGACAACACCGAGGACUCGGAGUGAUUAUCACCACCAACAGU
rnacentral:snoRNA from 14 species